UACGUAGGGUGCAAGCGUUGUCCGGAAUUAUUGGGCGUAAAAGAGCUCGUAGGCGGCUUGUCGCGUCGGAUGUGAAAGCCCGGGGCUUAACCCCGGGUCUGCAUUCGAUACGGGCAGGCUAGAGUUCGGUAGGGGAGAUCGGAAUUCCUGGUGUAGCGGUGAAAUGACGCAGAUAUCAGGAGGAACACCGGUGGCGAAGGCGGAUCUCUGGGCCGAUACUGACGCUGAGGAGCGAAAGCGUGGGGAGCGAACAGG
rnacentral:rRNA from 1 species